GACGAACGCUGGCGGCGUGCCUAAUACAUGCAAGUCGAACGCAGUGGGGACGGGUGAGUAACAUGUGGGUAACCUCCCAUCAGAGGGGAUAACACUUGGAAACAGGUGCUAAACCGAUACUGAUGGAUGGACGCGCGGUGCAUUAGCUAGUUGGUGAGGUAACGGCUCACCAAGGCCACGAUGCAUAGCCGACCGUGGAGGGUGAUCGGCCACACUGGAACGGAGAAACGGCCCAGACUCCUACGGGAGGCAGCAGUAGGGAAUCUUCGGCAAUGGACGAAAGUCUAACCGGGAAACGCCGGGUAAGUGAAGAAGGUUUUCGGAUCGUAAAACUCUGUUGGUAGAGAAGCGGUAUCUAACCAGAAAGCCACGGCUAACUACGUGCCAGCAGCCGCGGUAAUAC
rnacentral:rRNA from 1 species